rnacentral:tRNA from 1 species
GGGCGAUUAGCUCAGUUGGUAGAGCGUCUCAUUGACGUUGAGAAGGUGACAAGUUCGAAUCUUGUAUCGCCCA